AGUAGAGAGGAGAAGUGUCUUGUUCUGUCUGCGUGGGAAAUUCAUGGGGCUUUAAAUUUCUCACCGGGACACAGGUCCACCCAGGGGGUUCAGUGAGGUUUUUCUGUCUGAGCAGAGGUUCUGUGAACUGCACUGAAAUUCAUUUUGCAGCCAUGCAGCAGGUGCUGGAUAACCUCAAGGA